rnacentral:rRNA from 1 species
CCUACGGGGUGCAGCAGUGGGGAAUAUUGCACAAUGGGGGAAACCCUGAUGCAGCAACGCCGCGUGAGUGAAGAAGUAUUUCGGUAUGUAAAGCUCUAUCAGCAGGGAAGAAGAUGACGGUACCUGAGUAAGAAGCCCCGGCUAACUACGUGCCAGCAGCCGCGGUAAUACGUAGGGGGCAAGCGUUAUCCGGAUUUACUGGGUGUAAAGGGAGCGUAGACGGUGAGACAAGUCUGAAGUGAAAGCCCGGGGCUUAACCCCGGAACUGCUUUGGAAACUGUGCGGCUGGAGUGCAGGAGGGGUAAGCGGAAUUCCUAGUGUAGCGGUGAAAUGCGUAGAUAUUAGGAGGAACACCGGUGGCGAAGGCGGCUUACUGGACUGUAACUGACGUUGAGGCUCGAAAGCGUGGGGAGCAAACAGGAUUAGAUACCCUAGUAGUC